rnacentral:rRNA from 1 species
GUAGUCUGCAACCCGACUACAUGAAGCUGGAAUCGCUAGUAAUCGCGGAUCAGAAUGCCGCGGUGAAUACGUUCCCGGGUCUUGUACACACCGCCCGUCACACCAUGGGAGCCGACAACGCCCGAAGUCAGUGACCUAACCGAGAGGGAGGAGCUGCCGAAGGCGGGGUUGGUAACUGGGGUGAAGUCGUAACAAGGUAGC